rnacentral:rRNA from 1 species
UGCCUACGGGGGGCAGCAGUGGGGAAUAUUGCACAAUGGGCGAAAGCCUGAUGCAGCAACGCCGCGUGAAGGAAGAAGGGUUUCGGCUCGUAAACUUCUAUCAACAGGGACGAAAGAAAUGACGGUACCUGAAUAAGAAACCCCGGCUAACUACGUGCCAGCAGCCGCGGUAAUACGUAGGUGGCAAGCGUUGUCCGGAAUUACUGGGUGUAAAGGGAGCGCAGGCGGGAAGCCA